CCUGGGAAAGCCUCUAACAUAGGUUGUUGUAAGUUUAAAAAACAAAAACAACAACAAAUAAAGGUUUUUUUUAUUUGUUUGUUUGUUUUUUCCUGCAGAUUUGGUCAGAUCAGAUAGGGAAAAUGCAAAUUCUGGGAGCAAACAGAAGUUCAUGAGAACUUUAAGGAAAUUCUCAGAAAUGCCAGAAGUCUCCAGGAAUGCAGUGUCUGUUUCAAUUAAAAGGAACUACGGUGGCAACUUGUAAGAGCAUCAAUCUGACUCCUUAGCUGUAAAAUAAAAGUCUGUUCUGCAGCUUAGAGAAUCA
rnacentral:lncRNA from 1 species